rnacentral:rRNA from 1 species
AUUGAACGCUGGCGGCAGGCCUAACACAUGCAAGUCGAACGGUAGCACAGAGAGCUUGCACUUGGGUGACGAGUGGCGGACGGGUGAGUAAUGUCUGGGAAACUGCCUGAUGGAGGGGGAUAACUACUGGAAACGGUAGCUAAUACCGCAUAACGUCGCAAGACCAAAGAGGGGGACCUUCGGGCCUCUUGCCAUCGGAUGUGCCCAGAUGGGAUUAGCUAGUAGGUGGGGUAAUGGCUCACCUAGGCGACGAUCCCUAGCUGGUCUGAGAGGAGGCCAAGCCACACUGGAACUGAGACACGGUGCAGACUCCUACGGGAGGCAGCAGUGGGGAAUAUUGCACAAUGGGCGCAAGCCUGAUGCAGCCAUGCCGCGUGUAUGAAGAAGGCCUUCGGGUUGUAAAGUACUUUCAGCGGGGAGGAAGGGGUUGAGUUUAAUACGCUCAAUCAUUGACGUUACCCGCAGAAGAAGCGCCGGCUAACUCCGUGCCAGCCGCCGCCGUAACAC